rnacentral:rRNA from 1 species
GGAAUACCCGCUGAACUUAAGCAUAUCAAU